GAACUGUGUGUGACUUCCGCCUAUCCUAUGGCCGUGUCCUCAGCCACAGCAGCAAGAUCAUCAUCGUCAAUCGUAAUCGGGAAGAGAUGUUGCUCAACUCAGACAUCUUCUGGAAGCCCCAGGAGGCUGUGCAGGGAGAUGUGGGUUCCUUUGUGCUGAAGUUAGUGGAGGGCCUUCAGGGCCAGACAUGGGCCCCAGACUGGGUGGAGGAGCUGCGGGAAGCCGACCGGCAGAAGGAGCAGACCUUUCGGGAGAAGGCAGCGAUGCCUGUGGCUCAGCACCUGAACCCGGUGCGGGUGCUGCAGCUGGUGGAGGAAACGCUACCUGACAACUCAAUUCUGGUGGUGGAUGGCGGGGACUUCGUGGGCACUGCCGCCCAUCUGGUACAGCCCCGCGGCCCCCUGCGCUGGCUCGAUCCUGGUAAGGAAGGGCCCCCGCCUGGGGCAGUGGGCACCAUCCAUCCGGACGCCUUCACACCCACCUGCUCUUGGUCCUCUUAGGGGCCUUUGGGACUCUGGGAGUUGGUGCAGGAUUUGCACUUGGGGCCAAGCUGUGCCGGCCAGAUGCUGAGGUGAGGCACUGGAGUUGGGAGACUUGCUGCUCUCUAGGCCCUGAUCCACCCUAACCAUCCUGGGUCCCCUCCCCACUAGGUCUGGUGCCUGUUUGGGGAUGGAGCUUUUGGCUACA
rnacentral:sRNA from 1 species